ACAAUGCGGAACAAUGUUUUGCAAUUGGAUUGAGAACAACGUACAAACCUUAUCGAUAAACAAUUGGAGGGCAAGUCUGGUGCCAGCAGCCGCGGUAAUUCCAGCUCCAAUAGCGUAUAUUAACGUUGUUGCAGUUAAAAAGCUCGUAGUUGAAAUGAAGGGUAGUUGUGUAAUGAAUACAUUCGUGUAUUUUGUUAUUCUACUACCCUCCUUCUAAAUUCGAUAUAUGAGUAUUAAUUUACUUGUAUAUGGUUUUAGACCUUUACUGUGAGAAAAUUAGAGUGUUCAAAGCAGGCAUUUGCUUGAAUAUAUUAGCAUGGAAUAAUCAUGUAUGAUUUUCAUGAUGUAUUUGAUUGGUUUGGUUCAUGAGAAUAAGAUUAAAAGGGACAGUUGGGGGUAUUCAUAUUCAAUAGUCAGAGGUGAAAUUCUCGGAUUUAUGGAA
rnacentral:rRNA from 2 species